UUAGUAUUUCCUCUGUCCGAAAAUACUUAUCGAAAAAAUGCAUAAAAAUGGAUGUAUCUAGAACUAAAAUACGUCUAGAUACAUCCAUUCCUCCGACAAAUAUUUUCGAACGGAGGGAGUAUUUG
rfam:Triticum aestivum genome assembly, contig: Triticum_aestivum_CS42_TGACv1_scaffold_591870_7BS